rnacentral:lncRNA from 12 species
GCUGUUUGAGAAUCUGUCCUCUGCUCUGUGCUCUUCUUGCUCUCCUCACAUUUCUGGUAGGAUUCUGAAGUUUUAACCAUUCCCUCUAAUAUGAUGACUCCUGAGUCUUUAGCUCUAGCUCAGUCUCUGGAAGAAGACCUGCACUUUUAUAUGUAUAUAUACCUGCUUUCUGGAACUCUUUUCUUGUGUGUCUCAAGGCAUGUGUCUAAAAUGAAAUCCUUUGUCUCCCCUUACUUCUAACUGCUCUUAUCAUUUACUUUUGAGGACCACUAUCAUCUUAUUCAGUCUCCCAAACCAGAAAUCUGGAAAUCAUUCUUAACUCUUCCUUCUCAUUUUGUGAGCAUAUGAAAGCAAUCACAUUUUAAGGACCCUGGGAGACAUGAUAUAAAUAAAAAUGACCAUCUACAGUGCUUGCCGAAUUUGGUAUCAUUGCUUCCAGACUGAAAACACAGGGUGUUUUCCACUGUCAAUGUAAUCUCUGUCUGUCUAUAUCUUGAUUUUUCCUAUAGCAACCCAAUCUACCCUCCUUCGAUUACUGAUUCCUGGAGAAUGGGUACUUAAAUCCUUCACUGGAACUGCGUUAGGUUACGUAUUGUCCUUGGUGAGGAAGAAAGAGAAGAAAAAGGAGAAGUAAAAUAAGGAGGAAGGGAAGAGGAGGAAGGGGAAGGAAGCCAUCACCAAAGCUUACAUUCCAGAUGAACACUCAAACCUUCCAGCUUCAUCCUCACUCUAAACUUGAGAUGGAAAAGGUACAAGUGAGAGAGCAUUCUUUCAUCUUAAGAACAGCAGUGACAUUUGAAGGGGACAAGACACACAUGUUGAUGAUACUCUUUGGGCCAACCAAAAUAUGAAGGAAGAAGUACUACACAACAGAAGUGGAAUCUCAGGGCCAUCAGAGUGAGUUGAAGAUGCAUGGGACCUCACUCACUUUAUGUUGCCUAAAUUUCUAUUUUUCCCUGCAUGUGGUUGUAGUUUGAUUUCUUAUACUUCAUUAGGAAACAAAAUCUACUGAAUGCAUGUAAGCAAAUAUAACUAGCUAUAUAUUUUUAAAAUGUAUUUAUAUUUAUUUCAUGUACAUAUGGCAUGUCUUCUUUAACUUUUAUAGCAUUGUUAUUUUCGCUCUGAUUGCAAAGUUGUUUUAGAGUUCAUUUUAAAUCAAAUGAGUAUCUUCCUUUACUUGUGAGUAAAACGUUAAGCAAGUAUUUAUGAUGGUUGCAAAAUCCAACCAAAGAAAAAUCUAAGGCCAUCAUUAUGAUAAAAUUACAGCUAUAGAAAAAACUGGAACCCAAAACAUAAAAGAUCACAAGGAAAUAAAUCCAUAGUCCUCUGCA